rnacentral:rRNA from 1 species
UACGUAGGGGGCAAGCGUUAUCCGGAUUUACUGGGUGUAAAGGGAGCGCAGACGGCAGUGCAAGUCUGGAGUGAAAGCCCGGGGCCCAACCCCGGGACUGCUCUGGAAACUGUACGGCUGGAGUACGGGAGGGGCAGGCGGAAUUCCUAGCGUAGCGGUGAAAUGCGUAGAUAUAUGGAAGAACACCAGUGGCGAAAGCGGCUCUCUGGUCUGUAACUGACGCUGAGGUUCGAAAGCGUGGGUAGCAAACAGG